UAACGAAAAAGCGCUUGUAACUCCCGAUGCGGAAGGAAAAUGACUACGAAUGGAAGCGGUGAUCAAAGCAGGAAGGGGACUGCUUUUUCAGCCAGUGAAUGCGGUCUGGGCUGGACAUAAUUUCCAGGCAAGUAAACGAGCAUUGUCAUGUUGUGCCCCCUGUCCACAGUGAUGUGCCCCCCGUCUACAGUGACUAGCAGUUGCACUGAUCUUCUCAACAUUAUCCCCUGGCUGGUAUGACUGGCAGAGCAGCAAGGAUGGCUCGUUUUCCCUAGGUUACGUGAUGCUGCGCACGGAGUGAUGAUUUCAACUACCCAACGAGGCAUGGGGAUCGUCUUUUUCUUUCAGCAGUGUUGCGAGUCUUUAUUUGGGUGGUGUUGUACCUGAAUGAGUUAAUAAAUGUUACGAGUCGCAGAGACAAUAUAUGAUGUUUUCAAGAAUUUGGCAAAUUAUCAUCCCAACAUCUUCAUUAUGGAGGUUGCAUGCACAUAAUAUGUGCAUGGGUGUGAAGUUUAGUGUGAGUGAACGAUCAUAAAAAAGGUCAACUCAUUUUGUCUUGCCUUUAUUGCACUGGAAGAAUUGUAAUGUAUUUUUUCUUUCACGAGGCAAUAAUAUUUUGAUUGUGGAGUGGACACAAAAGUGUUGUGCCCUCGAAUCGAGCUUGGUGCAAACCUGUGCAUAGUAAUAAAUCUUUUGGAGCAAAAAAAAAUUAAACCGGUGGCUAUUGUUUCAUUAGAUAUUGUUUCGGGGAGAGUUGGUAAGCACUCCUCAGCACAGUGCUAAACAAUGCUUUCGGCACAUCCAUUUGUGAAAUGUUGCAGAAAUCUUAGGAAAAGAAGGUAUGCUUUCUUUCAGCAAAGCCCUUCUUCGACAAACUUCAUGUAAGAUGUAAUUCGAGAAGUAUGUUUUGUGGUGAACAGCUAGUGCACAAAUACAGUAAUAAAACACGUCAAAACUUGUUGGAACAAAAAAUUGGUGAAG